GCUCAGCUAGUAAAGAAUCUGCCUGCAAUGCAGGAGACCUGGGUUCAAUUCCUGGGUUGGGCA
rnacentral:tRNA from 1 species